GAGCCUCUCCCCGGUUCUCUCUUCCUCUCCGACCUCUUCACCUUCUUCCGGCCAUAACUCCUCCAUCCGGCGACGGAUUUUGAAGUGUAAGAUGUCGUUGGAAAGCUCUCUUCCUUCUCUUCAUUUCUGGGUUCGUUUCGUAGCUUAAUAUGAACUGUGGAAGGUGCAGCAACGAGAAGAAGAGGACGGUCACUGUAGCAGUUUUGAGUCAACGCCGAUAUUUUCCGAUUCCGGCAGUCUCCGGCCACCAAAUUGGCGUCGAAGGGUUCUUGGAAUUUCUGGAAAAUUUUCACCGGCCAAAUUGGAGCUCUUCCAGGGCAAUGCCGCGAGCUACGGUUAAAUGAAGGAACUCGUUUGCGUGGUCGCCCAAUAGUACUUUUGCAGGCGAAAUUAGUUGAGGUCGGGCGUACAUGGAGUCGAGGCAUAGCCAACAGCAUUGCUUCCGCGUUUUGGGUAGCCUACUUUUAGGGGAAGUUCCGCCAAAUUUUUGGUAGAAUCUCUUCUAAAGUGGGCCCCGCAGGGCCACUUCGGAUUUCAGGGUGAAAUCUGGGGCGGGUCCUGUCAC